rnacentral:rRNA from 1 species
UACGGAGGGUGCAAGCGUUAAUCGGAAUUACUGGGCGUAAAGCGCACGCAGGUGGCUGAGUCAGUCGAUUGUGAAAGCCCUGGGCUUAACCUGGGAAUUGCAGUCGAUACUACUCAGCUAGAGUAUGGGAGAGGGCAGUGGACUUCCCGGUGUAGCGGUGAAAUACGUAGAUAUCGGAAGGAACACCAGUGGCGAAAGCGGCUUCCUGGUCCAGCACCGACGUUCAGGCACGAAAGCGUGGGGAGCAAACAGG